rnacentral:lncRNA from 1 species
AGUCCGUGCAGAGUAGAAUAGCAAAACCAGAUUUUUUCCUUCUCUAGAUAAAGUUGCUGCCUGCUGCUGUUCAUUCUGGUGGGGAUAGAAGGUUGGUUUAGAGCAGAUGUUAAUAUUGUCUCUUUAAUAUGCAGAUAUAUGCUAAGCAGAUCUGGAUUCUGAAACUGUUACGAUGAGGCAUGGGAUUUGAUGUAGACAAGCUACCUACGCACUCCUCUUUGUGAAGAAGAGAAGGCCUCUUUGAGUAUGAAGGCAACACUUUUCUGGGAAGAAGGUAGCACUAACAUUGCUGCAAUCCUUGCCCAAGUACUUUCCUUAGGAAGCUCUGCUAGAAAGAGCUGGAAUGGGCAUAACCAAAGCUUCCUGGAAGAGCAGAUCACUGAAGAAAGAAACUGUGCUGGUUGCAGAAGACUUGCCUUGGAUUCUGAGUGUUCAAAGAUGUGACAUGGCUCCUGGAAUCAGACUGUCUAGGUGAAACAGUGCCGUUAUUAGAGGUGAUGUUCAGAAUGGACAACCACAUGGGCAAGGCAUCCAAGCCUUAGGCUGGAGCUGGGAUCUGGACCACCUGAGGGAGCAACACAUUAACUCUUUGUCUGCUGGACCCUGAGAAGCCCGGCAGGAUGAGCGACCCCAGGGAAGUGCCCAGAAUGGUCAGGACAGUGGGGCAUUCUCUUUCCCAACAGGUAUGAAAACAUUUCAGUGUUUUAACAAUUGCUACAGUCCUAAUGUUUCCUAACUGCUACAUAUCAGCGACAUUAAUUGUAACAUUUCCAGAGUAAGAAUGUAACCGUGAGGCAGUCAGUCUCCCCUUCUUCCCAGUGAAAUCCCACCUCUCCUUCUAGCACCUCGCUGUCCCUUUCACCUCUUUAUUUUCUCAUUCAAACACUGAGAGCAUCUACAUCCAUGCCAUACAUAGGUUGUUCCUUUUUCUUCUUUUUGUUUUGUUUUUCAUCACAAAAAGCAGAAUCAUGCAUUGUGAAUCUAAG